AACAAGUUACGGUACAGGAAUGAUGAGGAGAUACGACAAGUUUAGAUUGAUCGUAAAUGCUUCCUCUGUAUUCGGAGAAAAAGGCACAGUGAUGGUAGCUAUAAAAAUAUCAGCGAAAUAAUAAUCACCACAUCUCCCAUUUCUUCACGCGACAUUACGUCAGCACGCUACUAUCGUUAUUGGAAGUGGCGUUUCUCAAAGAUUAAAGAUGCCGACAAACGUCGCUGAUACAGCUGAACAAAUUGCCGGUAGCGAGUUCGCAUGAUCGCGAACAACUCGUCAAAGCUGAUGCCAACGUAGAUUCGCGACGGGUGUCGAAAGAGCCGUGUAUGUUGCUGCAAAGACUACUUCCGGCCGGCAAACGUGGGCCCGUGCGUUCACCAAUAACUGGUUUUCGCAAAGUUCAGGGCGUUGACCCUGCGCACACGACCUACGCCGGAUAACGAGAGGAUGCUGCUAACGACGAAAGCGACAGAGAUGCGUCGAGAUUGAGCAAUACAAUGAAAUAUGAUGACGCGAGAACGCGUUAAAAUCGAUGUUGAGGAUGAAUCGCACGGGAAGCGACUAAUAUCCGUUGAAAAUAUCGUCGGAAGCGAGCCCAAUUUAUUUUUACUUGGAGCCCAAUCCUAUAUCAUCAUAAUUGCCUUUAACUUUAA